CCGCAGGUGACUGCCGGGAAAGUGCAACAGAAAUAAACCGCCCGCAAGGGUAAGGAUGGAAAGGCGAGGUAAGAGCUCACCCGUUCCUAUGGUAACAUAGGUCCGCUGUAAACCCUAUCCGAAGCAACACCGUAUAAGGGACGCCUGCCCGGCACAUGUCCCUUGGGUGGCACGGGAGCGAUCCCGAAGCGUUGUGGCGACACGGCGCGCAGAUAGAUGACCGUUCACGACAGAACCCGGCUUAUCGGUGGAGUUAUACA
rnacentral:RNase_P_RNA from 1 species